rnacentral:rRNA from 1 species
UUUUAACGAGAGUUUGAUCCUGGCUCAGGAUGAACGCUGGCGGCGUGCUUAACACAUGCAAGUCGAGCGAAGCACUCUGCUUUGAUUUCUUCGGGAUGAAGAGCUUAGUGACUGAGCGGCGGACGGGUGAGUAACGCGUGGGUAACCUGCCUCAUACAGGGGGAUAACAGUUAGAAAUGACUGCUAAUACCGCAUAAGACCACAGC